GACAAACGCUGGCGGCGUACUUAAGACAUGCAAGUCGAACGGACACGUUUUCUUUCGGGGGAGCGUGUGAGUGGCGGAUGGGUGAGUAACGCGUAGGAACCUAUCACGAAGUGGGGGAUACCGCUGGGAAACCGGCGCUAAUACCGCAUGAGGUCAGUGAUGAUCAAAGCAGGAAUGCGCUUUGUGCGGGGCCUGCGUCCGAUUAGCUGGUUGGUGGGGUAACGGCCUACCAAGGCUGCGAUCGGUAGCUGGUCUGAGAGGAUGGUCAGCCACACUG
rnacentral:rRNA from 1 species